UACGGAGGGAGCUAGCGUUGUUCGGAUAUACUGGGCGUAAAGGGUGCGUAGGCGGUCGGGUAAGUCUGAUGUGAAAUCUCACAGCUUAACUGUGAAACUGCAUUGGAUACUAUCCGGCUUGAGGAAUGGAGGGGAGACUGGAAUACUUGGUGUAGCAGUGAAAUGCGUAGAUAUCAAGUGGAACACCAGUGGCGAAGGCGAGUCUCUGGACAUUUCCUGACGCUGAGGCACGAAAGCCAGGGGAGCAAACGGG
rnacentral:rRNA from 1 species